UUGAUAGGGUGAACACGAAGACUCAGAAGA
rnacentral:piRNA from 1 species